UGCCCUGCUCCCAGAAUCCCUGCCCUGCUCCCAGAAUCCCUGCCCUGUUCCCAGAAUCCCUGCCCUGGCUCCCAGAAUCCCUGCCCUGGCUCCCAGGAAAAGCCAGGGGUAGGGUUAGGGUGAGGAUUGGGAUCAGGAUCAGGGUUGGGAUUGGGGUUGGGAUCAGGGUCUGGAUCAAGGUUAGGGUUAGGAUUGGGAUCGGGAUCCAGGUCAGGGCUAGGAUCACCUGUGAGUUGGGAUCAGGGUUAGGGUCAAGUUUAGGACCAGGGUUAAAGUUAGGGUCAGGCUUAGGGUUUGGGCCAGGACCAAAAUCGGGAUCAGGGCUGAGGGGAAUUCAGAGCCAAGGCUGGGGUCAGGUUUAGGUUCAGGGUUAGGACCAGGACCAAAAUCGGGAUCAGGGCUGAGGGGAAAUUAGAGCCUAGAUUAGGGUCAGGUUUAGGGUCAGGGUUAGGAUCAAGGUUCAGGUCAGGAUUAGGGUCAGGAUUAGGGUCAAGGCUCAGGUCAGGUUUAGGAUCAAGGCUCAGGUCAGGUUUAGGGUCAGGGUUAGGGUCAGGGUUAGGAUCAAGGCUCAGGUCAGGUUUAGGGUCAGGGUUAGGAUCAAGGCUCAGGUCAGGUUUAGGGUCAGGGUUAGGGUCAGGGUUAGGAUCAAGGCUCAGGUCAGGUUUAGGGUCAGGGUUAGGAUCAAGGCUCAGGUCAGGUUUAGGGUCAGGUUUAGGGUCAGGGUUAGGAUCAAGGCUCAGGUCAGGUUUAGGGUCAGGGUUAGGAUCAAGGCUCAGGUCAGGUUUAGGGUCAGGUUUAGGAUCAAGGCUCAGGUCAGGUUUAGGGUCAGGUUUAGGAUCAAGGCUCAGGUCAGGUUUAGGGUCAGAGUCAGGCUUAAGACCAGAGUCAGCAUCAGGGUCAGGGUUAGGAUCAGGAUUAGGGGCAGAGUCAAGGCUGGGGUCAGGUUUAGGCUCAGGAUCAGGACUGGGGUUAAGAUCAGGGUUAGGAUUAGGGUUAGGCUCGGGGUUAGGGCUGUGUUUGGGAUCAGCACGGGAGGAAGGUCCAUCCAAAGGAAGGAAGAUCCAUGGGAUCCGUUGGAAGGAAGAUCUCACAGGAAGAUCCAUAGAGAGGUUGGGAAAAGGUCCUUGGGAAUGUUGGGAAGACCUGCACUGGAAUGUUGGAGAAAACCCCUCAGGAAGGUCAGAGAAGAUCUGCAGGAGGUCACGGGAAGAUCCAUGAGGAGGUCAGGAAGUGUCCACAGGAAACUCGGGAAGAUCCACUGGGAGGUUGGACGGAAGAUCCGUAGGAAGGCUGGGAAAACAUCCACAGGGAGAUGAUUUGGAGGGAGAUCCGUAGGAAGGCUGGGAACAGGACCCCAGCAAGGCCGGAGAGAGGUGGGCGUGGUCACAGCCCCUUUGGGAGCCACCGUGGGAAUUGUGGGAGACAAUUCCAAGGGCUUGGGAGCCACCACGGAACACCAGGGCAACCACACGGGAGCCUCACCAAGGAACAGGGAACGAUCCAAGCGAUCCCAGGAAUGAUCCCAGCCAUCCCAGGAAUGAUCUCAGCCAUCCCAGGAGUGAUCCCAGCCAUCCCAGGAACGAUCCAAACGAUCCCAGGAACGAUCCGAGCCAUCCCAGGAGUGAUCCCAGCCAUCCCAGGAACGAUCCCAGCCAUCCCAGGAACGAUCCCAGCCAUCCCAGGAACGAUCCAAGCCAUCCCAGGAGUGAUCCGAGCCAUCCCAGGA